UACGUAGGGGGCAAGCGUUGUCCGGAAUUAUUGGGCGUAAAGCGCGCGCAGGCGGUCAUUUAAGUCUGGUGUUUAAACCUUGGGCUCAACCUGGGGUCGCACUGGAAACUGGGUGACUUGAGUACAGAAGAGGAAAGUGGAAUUCCACGUGUAGCGGUGAAAUGCGUAGAUAUGUGGAGGAACACCAGUGGCGAAGGCGACUUUCUGGGCUGUAACUGACGCUGAGGCGCGAAAGCGUGGGGAGCAAACAGGG
rnacentral:rRNA from 1 species